rnacentral:rRNA from 1 species
AUGCCAUCCCCCGACGCGCCGUGCUGCCGUCCUCCCGGCACCCCGGCCUGCCUCCUCUCCGCCGCGCCAUCCUCCCUGCGUCGUCCGAGUCCUCCGCGCGCGGUUCGCCGACGCCGAGGCCCAGGCCGCCGCGCUCCGGGCCUGCACCGGUCGGCUCGAGCACGCGCCGCCGACCGCGACGGGCUGCUCAACACGCUCCUCGCCGCCAUGGGCAACGACCGGAAGGAGGAGGAGGACACGCAGGAGGCAGGGCAGCGUCAGAAUCGUGCGCGUUGGAUCCGGCCGAUGGUUACGGCGACACGGACGUGGAGGCUCUGGCCGCGGUCGCCGCGCUCUAUGCCCCGCCCCUGCUCGCCGAGCCCUGCCUCUCCAGAUCUCCAGCCAUGUAUGUUGCCGGGGACCCUGCAGGUCCAAGCUCGUCGGCGAGGGGGAGCGCAGACAGCAGCCUAG